rnacentral:rRNA from 1 species
UGCUUCUCUUGAGAGCGGCGGACGGGUGAGUAAUGCCUAGGAAUCUGCCUGGUAGUGGGGGAUAACGUUCGGAAACGGACGCUAAUACCGCAUACGUCCUACGGGAGAAAGCAGGGGACCUUCGGGCCUUGCGCUAUCAGAUGAGCCUAGGUCGGAUUAGCUAGUUGGUGGGGUAAUGGCUCACCAAGGCGACGAUCCGUAACUGGUCUGAGAGGAUGAUCAGUCACACUGGAACUGAGACACGGUCCAGACUCCUACGGGAGGCAGCAGUGGGGAAUAUUGGACAAUGGGCGAAAGCCUGAUCCAGCCAUGCCGCGUGUGUGAAGAAGGUCUUCGGAUUGUAAAGCACUUUAAGUUGGGAGGAAGGGUUGUAGAUUAAUACUCUGCAAUUUUGACGUUACCGACAGAAUAAGCACCGGCUAACUCUGUGCCAGCAGCCGCGGUAAUACAGAGGGUGCAAGCGUUAAUCGGAAUUACUGGGCGUAAAGCGCGCGUAGGUGGUUUGUUAAGUUGGAUGUGAAAUCCCCGGGCUCAACCUGGGAACUGCAUUCAAAACUGACUGACUAGAGUAUGGUAGAGGGUGGUGGAAUUUCCUGUGUAGCGGUGAAAUGCGUAGAUAUAGGAAGGAACACCAGUGGCGA